rnacentral:rRNA from 1 species
CCUGGAAACGGGUGCUAAUACCGGAUACGCUCACGGGUUCACAAGAGCUUGUGAGGAAAGGGGAGACCCGCAGACAGAUGGGUCCGCGUCCCAUUAGCUAGUUGGGGGUGUAAUGGACUCCCAAGGCGACGAUGGGUAGCCGGCCUGAGAGGGUGACCGGCCACACUGGAACUGAGACACGGUCCAGACUCCUACGGGAGGCAGCAGUGGGGAAUCUUCCGCAAUGGGCGAAAGCCUGACGGAGCAACGCCGCGUGAGUGAAGAAGGCCUUCGGGUUGUAAAACUCUGUCAUCAGGGAAGAAGAAAGUGACGGUACCUGAGGAGGAAGCCCCGGCUAACUACGUGCCAGCAGCCGCGGUAAAACGUAGGGGGCGAGCGUUGUCCGGAAUUACUGGGCGUAAAGGGCGCGUAGGCGGUUAUCCAAGUCAGGGGUGAAAACCUUGGGCUCAACCCAGGGCCUGCCUCUGAAACUGGAUGACUUGAGGGCAGGAGAGGGGAGUGGAAUUCCCAGUGUAGCGGUGAAAUGCGUAGAUAUUGGGAGGAACACCAGUGGCGAAGGCGGCUCUCUGGCCUGUUACUGACGCUGAGGCGCGAAAGCGUGGGGAUCAAACAGGAUUAGAUACCCUGGUAGUCCACGCCGUAAACGAUGGGUGCUAGGUGUAGGAGGUAUCGACCCCUUCUGUGCCGUAGUUAACACAAUAAGCACCCCGCCUGGGGAGUACGGCCGCAAGGUUGAAACUCAAAGGAAUUGACGGGGGCCCGCACAAGCGGUGGAGCAUGUGGUUUAAUUCGACGCAACGCGAAGAACCUUACCAGGGUUUGACAUCCCCUGACAGCCUAUGAAAGUAGGUUUUCUAUCUUCGGAUAGACAGGGAGACAGGUGGUGCAUGGUUGUCGUCAGCUCGUGUCGUGAGAUGUUGGGUUAAGUCCCGCAACGAGCGCAACCCUCACGUUUAGUUGCCAGCGGGUGAGGCCGGGCACUCUAAACGAACUGCCGUUGACAAAACGGAGGAAG